UGUCCUUUCUUCAACAGGACUUUCUUAAAGGGCUCCUUGAUCCCCUUUCAUUUCCCAGGAGCACAAAUCAACACAGGUGAGUAUUUUUAUAGACACUUGCUGUUAUUGCAGUCCACGGAAAAACAUCAGCACCAAGGCAUGCUACCUUGUAGCUUCACUGCUGCCAGUGUCUGCCUUCUGAGAGCUCUGCAGUUUCUUUUUCCUGUCACCAGCUCCGUAGUUAAAAUGUGACAGUGCAUUGAUUAACAGAGAUUAAAAUGCAAGAACAGCACUGAAUAUAACCUUUGCCAGUGAUCAUGGUCAAGAUGGAAGAACCAGCCUGAACCAGUAAUCCUUGUCGCCUGCCUUCCUAGUGGCUACUAAUAUGGGGCAGAUUCACAGGAUACACCGUUAAUUAGGUAGACACAUUUGUUUGAAUAAAUCUUCACUCCUGAGUUCAUGUGGCUUAAACAUUGACUAUGAAGAAAUGUUAAG